ACAGCGGAGAGUUUGAUCCUGGCUCAGGAUGAACGCUAGCGGCAGGCUUAACACAUGCAAGUCGCGGGGCAGCGGGGGAGGAGUUUACUCCUCCCGCCGGCGACCGGCGCACGGGUGAGUAACACGUAUGCAACCUGCCCUUGUCAGGGGGACAACCCGCCGAAAGGCGGGCUAAUCCCGCGUAAAUCACUUCGGGGCAUCCCGAAGUGAGGAAAGGCUUCGGCCGGACAAGGAUGGGCAUGCGGCGCAUUAGGCAGUUGGCGGGGUAACGGCCCACCAAACCGACGAUGCGUAGGGGUUCUGAGAGGAAGGUCCCCCACACUGGUACUGAGACACGGACCAGACUCCUACGGGAGGCAGCAGUGAGGAAUAUUGGUCAAUGGGCGAGAGCCUGAACCAGCCAAGCCGCGUGAGGGAAGAAGGUGCUCAGCAUCGUAAACCUCUUUUGUCAGGGAACAAAGGGCUCCUCGUGAGGAGCACUGAGUGUACCUGAAGAAAAAGCAUCGGCUAACUCCGUGCCAGCAGCCGCGGUAAUACGGAGGAUGCGAGCGUUAUCCGGAUUUAUUGGGUUUAAAGGGUGCGUAGGCGGACUGUUAAGUCAGCGGUAAAAGCCCGGAGCUCAACUCCGGCGAGCCGUUGAAACUGGUGGUCUUGAGACGUCGAGAGGUAUGCGGAAUGCGCAGUGUAGCGGUGAAAUGCAUAGAUAUUGCGCAGAACUCCGAUUGCGAAGGCAGCAUACUGGCGGCGCUCUGACGCUGAGGCACGAAAGCGUGGGUAUCGAACAGGAUUAGAUACCCUGGUAGUCCACGCAGUAAACGAUGAAUAC
rnacentral:rRNA from 1 species